rnacentral:rRNA from 1 species
GAGUUUGAUCCUGGCUCAGGACGAACGCUGGCGGCGUGCCUAAUACAUGCAAGUCGAGCGAGCUUGCCUAGAUGAUUUUAGUGCUUGCACUAAAUGAAACUAGAUACAAGCGAGCGGCGGACGGGUGAGUAACACGUGGGUAACCUGCCCAAGAGACUGGGAUAACACCUGGAAACAGAUGCUAAUACCGGAUAACAACACUAGACGCAUGUCUAGAGUUUGAAAGAUGGUUCUGCUAUCACUCUUGGAUGGACCUGCGGUGCAUUAGCUAGUUGUAAGGUAACGGCUUACCAAGGCAAUGAUGCAUAGCCGAGUUGAGAGACUGAUCGGCCACAUUGGGACUGAGACACGGCCCAAACUCCUACGGGAGGCAGCAGUAGGGAAUCUUCCACAAUGGACGAAAGUCUGAUGGAGCAACGCCGCGUGAGUGAAGAAGGGUUUCGGCUCGUAAAGCUCUGUUGGUAGUGAAGAAAGAUAGAGGUAGUAACUGGCCUUUAUUUGACGGUAAUUACUUAGAAAGUCACGGCUAACUACGUGCCAGCAGCCGCGGUAAUACGUAGGUGGCAAGCGUUGUCCGGAUUUAUUGGGCGUAAAGCGAGCGCAGGCGGAAUGAUAAGUCUGAUGUGAAAGCCCACGGCUCAACCGUGGAACUGCAUCGGAAACUGUCAUUCUUGAGUGCAGAAGAGGAGAGUGGAACUCCAUGUGUAGCGGUGAAAUGCGUAGA